CGAACGCUGGCGGCGUGCUUAACACAUGCAAGUCGACCGGAAAGGCCCUUCGGGGUACUCGAGUGGCGAACGGGUGAGUAACACGUGGGUGAUCUGCCCUGCACUUUGGGAUAAGCCUGGGAAACUGGGUCUAAUACCGGAUAGGACCACGGCAUUCAUGUGCUGUGGUGGAAAGCUUUUGCGGUGUGGGAUGGGCCCGCGGCCUAUCAGCUUGUUGGUGGGGUAAUGGCCUACCAAGGCGACGACGGGUAGCCGGCCUGAGAGGGUGACCGGCCACACUGGGACUGAGAUACGGCCCAGACUCCUACGGGAGGCAGCAGUGGGGAAUAUUGCACAAUGGGCGCAAGCCUGAUGCAGCGACGCCGCGUGAGGGAUGACGGCCUUCGGGUUGUAAACCUCUUUCGCCAGGGACGAAGCGCAAGUGACGGUACCUGGAGAAGAAGGACCGGCCAACUACGUG
rnacentral:rRNA from 1 species